UUUAGUAGAAAGAAAAAUCAUGGUAGAGACGGAGCUUGUAGAGGGCAAAGUACAAACUAGACAAAUGGGCAAUAUGUUUACAAUAAGUAUUAAAUGUCGACAAAGAAGACACAAAAAAAUGUAGACCAAAAUGAUGGAAAGAGAAAAUAUACACAAUCAUUAAUGAUCUGGUAAACUAUAAUGUAAAGAAAAUAUAAACCUCGUAGAAAUGGUAGAGAAAAAUUACAGACAAAAAUAAUUGUAUAAAAUCAUCAUUCAAAAAGCGAGAUCUAUCUACAUGGCGCCGAAGUGGUGGAUAAUUUUUCACCCAAAAUAACCCCAGAAAUCGAAAGAUCAACAAAUUUAAAUUUUUUAGGUAUAACUCUGUAAUAACGUAUUUUAUCGAAAAAAGUGUGAGGAGCAAAAAUGAAGCUCAUGAAAAAACAAAGAAAUUAAGAUAUAUUUUAACAUCUUAAUGUUCUACCUAAACAUGAAAAUUGAAGGAGUUAUAACCAAAUUAACCAGUCACUAUAGUGGGAGAAUUCCUUAUCCAUAGCCCUUUGACCAUUUAUUAAUAAAAUGUGGUGGGUCUCAAGCCCUUCUAACAAACAUAAGCUUGUAGCCCUGAAAAUUACCUUUAAUAUGGUUUUUCGUAGGAAGUGAUAGCCCCGAAAUUAAUGGAGUUACGUCAAAAAUAAGAAUUUGAAAUUUUUUGUGAAUUAUAGGUUAUGAAAAAGUUUCAAAUUUUGGCGCUCGAAUUUUUUCUGUUGAUGCUAAGUCGCCUGUAGGUACAUUUGAGAGUACCAAGAGAUGAUAUAUACUUUUAAUCUUGGUAGAGGGGUGGUUUUUAAGGGGUGUCAGGGUGUAGAGAUUGAAAAAUCACUUCGUGUUUGGAAAAUACACUCGAAUACCGAAAUAAUUCAAAAUCAAAACAUUAACAGUCAUUAAAAUUUUAUUUUUUAUCAAAGGGGUGGUUCUAAAGGGUUGAUAAACUACAUAAACAAUCAAAAAUUACUUCAAUUAGAGACAAGAAACUUUAAUACCUAAAAGAAUGCAAAAUUAAAAAGUUGGCAGUCAUUUGAUUUUAUUUUUAUUUAAUUCUCUGCAAAGGGGUAGUUUAUAAGGGUUGAAUAAUAAAAAUUAACGAUCAAAUGAAAUUUUAUUAAAAUGUUAUGAAUUUUUUACAGUAAAAAUGAAAUUGCAAUGUUUUAAAUCAUUAAAAGAUUUAUUCCCAUAUUAUUUUUAUGAAAAGAGUAGUUUUUAACGAUUUUUAAGGGUUGAUACUUCAAAAUAUAUGAAUUUUCUAUUAUACAAUAUGUUAAAAUAUUUAUGCAGCAUGAACGAAAAACAUUUGAAUUGAAAAAAAAGUAGGAAAAACUAUAAUUCUGGUAUUUUUCGAUAAGGGGUGGUUUUUCACCCCUUAAAAACAAUUUGCACACAUUGCGACCAUGUAAAUCUCGAUAUGGAGGAUGAGAUGAGCUCAAUUUUAAAUUUUCGUAAAAAUCGGAGCCGCAUUAAAGAAUUCGGAGGUUCGAAACAAUUUUGAGCUUGAAUGACUGGACUAUAUAAGUUUGAGUUACGGCUACUCUGGUUUGUCGAGGGACAAGGUGGAUGUCGCGUUCGGGAGACUCAACUUCAGGCUAAACAAAUGGCAGACGGUGACCUUUGGGGAAAACUUACAUUUUCCGUCAUUUUCAUAUAUUUUUUCCUGUGUCUGCGUAUUGAUUUUCUCUGUAUUAUUUCAAACACUUCUUCUUAUGACUCAGGAUACUUACAUCACAAAAGAAAAGAAACAUUGUAAAUAAAAAUUCCGAUUUUCUUAAACAUGUUUAUUUUUUUAUAAAUAUACCGACAUUUUUGAUGAAAUAUUCUUUGGAAAUAACGCUUUCAAAUCAAGCGAUAAAAAUAUUUUGUUACUCAUCGCGUAUUUCGAAUUUCUUUUGUGGAACAAUCGGCCGUUUCGGGAACUUCGUGUCCCCACUUAUAAUGUGUCCCAUCGCCGUUUUUAAUAGCCACUUUCCUUACAAGUUCAUUGGACGGGGCUUUCAUAUCGUACGCCCAUCCAAUCUUUUGGAAAAAGUCCAACCACACCGUCGUUAUAUUCAAUUUCUGACCCAAUUCGGCCGCUCUAUAAUCCCAAGGAAACGUGUGAUGAUAAUUAUGGUAUCCCUCUCCCAAGGCGAAAAAUGAAACCGUUACAUUUUCAACUGGGAAGAUUUUCCUGAAAUAAAGAAAA